GUCAGAAGCUGAUAAUUUAUUAUAGGCACUACCAGCACUGAAUCCAGGUUACAGUUAUGUGAUCUGCACUGAGGUGCACACACUGAGGACAGCCAUCUUUGAAGCACUUGCAAUUUAGUACAGACCAGUCUGCUGCUUUGUGUACAUAGAACAUGGUGCCAGAAGUGGGGUUGAAAUUAAGUGUUGAAGAGCUAUUUUUUAAAAAAAAGAAAAUGUACAUCUACAGACAGUGAGACACAAGAAUAUUCAGAACUAUGAAAAGUUUAAGAAACAGUCCACAGCUGAAACACUGGCUUACUGUCAUUCUGGAGAAUAUCCGCUUGACGUAAAUGAGUGCAAGACCAAUUUGAUGUCUGCUGAGGAAAUGUCCAGCUGUCCUGAAAGACCAGAGAAGAGCUGAAAAAGAAAAGAGUAAUCCAAAAAUUGUUAUCACCAGUUGUUUUUUGGGAACAUGCUAGUUGAACUGUGCCCCAAUGUCACUGCAUGUCCUUGGCUGUGAGUUGGCACAAUAAUUGACACAAACCUGGCAAGACAUGUUGAUGAAUCCGUCAAAUGUUUGCACUGCUUUUAACUCUGGUCGCCACAUUACUUUUACAGUUCUUACUCUUGAUCAGGUAGAGUGCUAAUCCUGUCAAUACAUGGCUUACACACUUGGUUUUGGGCAUUUUAAUUUGCAAUUUAUUUUCUUGUUCAGCUUCAAAUUCUUCUAGCAUGCUCUUCCUAGCAGUCACAAGUGAAAAAUGCAGCCGCUUCAUCCAGGUUUGGGGAAUUCAACCCCACACAUUGCCACUCUAUCUCCAGUCAAAUAGAAAGGCUGAGGUGGCAGUGAAAAUCUUCAAGAAAUUAAGCAAAACCAGCCCAGAUGUAUAUAAGGUAAUCAUCAAGUAGAGAGAGAAACUUACUGAAGGGAUGGAACGUAGCCAGUCCAAAGAUUAAGCCAUGCUCCACUGAAUAUGUUUUCAAUAGUGAAAAAUAUACUAAAACCCAAUGUCAUAACAGGUUGGAAUAAUAUCAAAUUAGAACAACAGAGCCAAAUUUCACUUUUGCCAAGACUGCCAAAGCUUUGCCAGAGUUAAGCAUUGGAGAGUCGGUCAUGAAAUUGUAAACUUACCAUUUGCACAGAUCAAACAGCAGAGCAGAUGUCCACAAUAACCCAACAACAGAAAUGGACCAACACAAGGUAUCACAGCAACAGGAGAGGAGCUUUGGCAUAGUGGGAACGUCAUUAGACUGGUAAUUCAGACCCCAAAUGAAUGUUGGGAAUCCCACCAAGACAUGUGAAAUUUGAAUUCAACAAAAAAACCCUGAAAUUAAACACUAGCCUAAGAUUAGUCAUGUUACCAUUAUUUUUAAAAGGCUUGCUAAUGUCCUGCAAAAGAAAACAUCGGCCUUGGUCUGGCUAGAUAUGACUCUAGUUCUACACCAAAGCUGGUUGACUUUUAAUGGCCCUCUGGGCAAUUAGGAAUGGGUAAUAAAUAUUGAACCACCAGCAACACCCACAUCCUGGGAAGUAAUAAUAUAAAAACAACACGUGAUAGAAAGGAUAUGCCAAGGGGAAGGAACGUUGCCCAGAUUAAUGGCCAAAAACAAUGUGCAUGGAUCGCACUUAAAAGACCAACAUGAUUUAAAGACUAUGAACUGAGUUUUACCAGAAAUUGGCUACGUGACAAUUUUAGGGAGUUUCAUAACAUGCUGCUCUCCAUGAGCUCUAGCAAGUAAUCUCUCUCAAUUCUUUGCUGCUCAUCUCAUUAUUUAGGGUAGACAAGCACGAGACUGGAAGACACAGCA